UGGAUAGAAAUUCAUCACUUUAGAUAAUCUCGGAUUCAUAGAAGAUGGAGCCGCACACGUGUCCGACCUCUACAUGUAUCCACCGAGAUCAAUCUCGAACUUUUCUUCUCGUAGAAGAUUCUUCUUCUCAAGAAGAACUUUGGCCUCGAAGACUCUGAUCAACUCUUUUGAUCUUAACUAAGAGAUCAACUCUUUGAUCUGCAGCCUUCUUCUUCUUCUCCUCGAUCCUUGAUCUCUAAGUCACCAAAACUCCUUCUAGGCA
rnacentral:lncRNA from 1 species